CCACCCUUGUGAAGUGAAAUCUGCCAGGUGUGGGUCAUUUGACCUUUGCUAUAUAGGAAGCUUGAGGAGCUGUAGGGAAUUGCCUUCCUGGGGGAGUCUGAGGCUCAGGUUCUCUAGGGUGCUUUUCUGCUGUUGUGGUGAAGUGGGCUCAGUGUUCCCCCGUGGGCUGUUUUUUCUUUGUGUUUUCUGCCAUCAACGUGAAAUAGUUUUAGUGACUCUAUGAGCUAGCUAUGUUGGCAGUGCCUUCUCAGUGCAGUAGAACCCUGGUGGUGCAACUUCCCUGAACCUGAGUCACUUCCACACUGCUUCACAGAAGCUGGCAGGCCUGCGUGUCUCCGCUGCAGAGAAAGUUCUGGAAGAGGCCCACCAACUCAGAGAAUCGAUCUUCCUCCCCACCUGUAGAAACCAGUGUCUGAGCUAUCGAGGAAAGCAUCCUUCUGAGAAAGGAAGAUGCCAGAGCGGGAGCACAGCCCGUGCCACCCUGCAGUUUUGCCACCGUGACGGAGAAUGGGAGAAAAAAAUUAAUCAGACUGCAUGAACCGGGGAAUUGGAAGUGCCAGCACCAGGAAAUCCAGCAGAUUCUACCACAGCAGCACAGGUUUGAAGUUUCUGGCAAAAGGAUGUAAUAUCAUAAAUAAAUGAAGGAGAAAGAGGGAAUACUGAAAGAAGCCAAGUCUGCAUCCUGAACAUCUUAAAAUCCCUUUUUUUUUUCCUCAGAAGUGUUAUAACUCCUGAUGAAAAGAAGUGAGUGGUCACUUUGAGUACUGAAUAAUUUUCACUAAUAAAAGUAAAGAUGCUGUUUUACUCUCC